CACAUCUGAAGAAGGCCAGGCCUCAAGAUGAAGAAGGAAUGGCCAGGACUCCAUGCCUCCCUGAGGGAUAAGUGGGAUCACACAGGUCUCCCUAUGAAGCUCUGCUCAGCUCCUGCAGGAAGAUGACCUGGACACUACAAGUUACACCCACCACUUCCUGAACUCCACAUCCAGCAGUGAGCAAUGGGUCGAAGGAUCACUGUGCCUUGGACCGCUCUGCUCUUUCCCUUAUCCACUACCUCACGUUCCCUGAGAAGGAGGAGUCUACACCCGAAUAAAGCUGCAUGCAUGUUUGAAGUACCUUUGUGUUUAGUGGGAUCAGGAAGACAGAAAGGAUGGUUAA